GUCAAAGCGUUCAUUAAAGUCGAGUUGGCUUAGGGAUACGUUCGUUGGGUAGGGGAGCGUUCUGUAAGCCUGUGAAGGUGUGUCGUGAGGCAUGCUGGAGGUAUCAGAAGUGCGAAUGCUGACAUAAGUAACGAUAAAGCGGGUGAAAAGCCCGCUCGCCGGAAGACCAAGGGUUCCUGUCCAACGUUAAUCGGGGCAGGGUGAGUCGACCCCUAAGGCGAGGCCGAAAGGCGUAGUCGAUGGGAAACGGGUUAAUAUUCCCGUACUUGGUGUUACUGCGAAGGGGGGACGGAGAAGGCUAUGUUGGCCGGGCGACGGUUGUCCCGGUUUAAGCGUGUAGGUGUGUGUUCCAGGUAAAUCCGGUUCACUUUAACACUGAGGCGUGAUGACGAGGCACUACGGUGCUGAAG
rnacentral:rRNA from 1 species